rnacentral:rRNA from 1 species
AGCUAAUAGAUACCCAGGUAGUCCCAGCAGUAAACGGUGCGCGUUUGGUGUGAGCAGAUUCGACUCUGUUCGCGCCGGAGCUAACGCGUUAAACGCGCCGCCUGGGAAGUACGAUCGCAAGAUUAAAACUCAAAGAAAUUGACGGGGGCCCGCACAAGCGGUGGAGUAUGUGGCUUAAUUCGAUGCAACGCGAAGAACCUUACCUGGGUUUGACAUGCAUCUCUAAGGAGGUGAAAGCUUCCGAGGGUAGCAAUACCCGAUUUGCACAGGUGCUGCAUGGCUGUCGUCAGCUCGUGUCGUGAGAUGUUGGGUUAAGUCCCGCAACGAGCGCAACCCUUGUAUGCUGUUGCUAUGCUUACGCAUAGCUCUCUGCGUAGACUGCCCCGUGAAACGGGGAGGAAGGUGGGGAUGACGUCAAGUCAGCAUGGCCCUUACACCCAGGGCUGCACACGUACUACAAUGCUCAGUACAAUUAGAACCUG